GGGGGGUGUGUGGAAGGGGAGGAGGGGAAGGAGGGGGGAGAAAUCAAAUAAAUAAAUAACCUCCGCACCAAUAAGAGAGGCAGCGGCUGCUGAGAAGGCUGGGAUCGGAUGGGAGAGGUCCUUCUUGGGCUCUAUUUGUUUGUUUGUGACUGGAGCUGCAAAGUUCAGAGCCAAACGUGUUGCUUGCCGGUGGCGGCGGCCGCCCCGCUUCACCUGCUCCGCUGACGGGUGCCUGCCCGGGGCGGCCCCACUGCUCUGCGGGCCUUCUGCCCGGCAUCCUGCUUGCUACUGGGGCCGACGGACGGCAGAGGAGCGCGGGGCUCCGUCCCUCGCCUGCCCGCCUUCCCCUCCGCGCCUGCCGGAGAGCAACGGACAGGUGUAGCUACAGAAAAAUAUCACAUUGAUCACAGGAGCAGAAAACAAUCUGGAUUUUCUUCUGAUGUGCUGACUACAGUGAUUGAAGUAUUGAAUCCUUUCACACCACCUUCCUGUAAAUACCCUGUUUCCAUAGACUACCAAAAGAAACUGCAAGAGACUUCAAAGCCUUUUCUCAGUGUAAGGCACCGGAAUAUCUACGCACAGUGCAGAGAGAUGCGAAGCCAGGAAAAGCUCAGCACGGGGAUGUGUUUGAAUUGCUAUUCCUGA
rnacentral:lncRNA from 1 species